AGCUUGACUGCGAGCGUGACGGCGCGAGCAGGUGCGAAAGCAGGUCAUAGUGAUCCGGUGGUUCUGAAUGGAAGGGCCAUCGCUCAACGGAUAAAAGGUACUCCGGGGAUAACAGGCUGAUACCGCCCAAGAGUUCAUAUCGACGGCGGUGUUUGGCACCUCGAUGUCGGCUCAUCACAUCCUGGGGCUGAAGUAGGUCCCAAGGGUAUGGCUGUUCGCCAUUUAAAGUGGUACGCGAGCUGGGUUUAGAACGUCGUGAGACAGUUCGGUCCCUAUCUGCCGUGGGCGCUGGAGAACUGAGGGGGGCUGCUCCUAGUACGAGAGGACCGGAGUGGACGCAUCACUGGUGUUCGGGUUGUCAUGCCAAUGGCACUGCCCGGUAGCUAAAUGCGGAAGAGAUAAGUGCUGAAAGCAUCUAAGCACGAAACUUGCCCCGAGAUGAGUUCUCCCUGACUCCUUGAGAGUCCUGAAGGAACGUU
rnacentral:rRNA from 1 species